rnacentral:misc_RNA from 1 species
UCCAGCUUAUCGCUGGCGGUCUCCUGCGAGUUCCGUCUUUCGACAUGGUAACACAGGACAAGGGUUGCGCUCGUUGCGGGACUUAACCCAACAUCUCACGACACGAGCCGACGACAGCCAUGCAGCACCUAGUUUCGUGUCAUUGCUGACUGACAUGUUUCCACAUCAUUCACUAACUUUCAAGCCCUGGUAAGGUUCCUCGCGUAUCAUCGAAUUAAACCACAUGCUCCUCCGCUUGUGCGGGCCCCCGUCAAUUCCUUUGAGUUUCAACCUUGCGGUCGUACUCCCCAGGUGGAUCACUUAAUGCUUUCGCUCAGACGCGUACAGUGUAUCGCACACAUCGAGUGAUCAUCGUUUAGGGCGUGGACUAC